UCCCCGAUAGCUCAGCCGGUAGAGCAACGGACUGUUAAUCCGCGGGUCGCAGGUUCGAGUCCUGCUCGGGGAGCCA
rnacentral:tRNA from 1 species